AUUGAACGCUGGCGGCAUGCCUUACACAUGCAAGUCGAACGGCAGCACGGGAGCUUGCUCCUGGUGGCGAGUGGCGAACGGGUGAGUAAUACAUCGGAACGUACCCUGAAGUGGGGGAUAACGUAGCGAAAGUUACGCUAAUACCGCAUAUUCUGUGAGCAGGAAAGAGGGGGAUCGCAAGACCUCCUGCUUUAGGAGCGGCCGAUGUCGGAUUAGCUAGUUGGUGAGGUAAAGGCUCACCAAGGCGACGAUCCGUAGCGGGUCUGAGAGGAUGAUCCGCCACACUGGGACUGAGACACGGCCCAGACUCCUACGGGAGGCAGCAGUGGGGAAUUUUGGACAAUGGGCGCAAGCCUGAUCCAGCCAUGCCGCGUGAGUGAAGAAGGCCUUC
rnacentral:rRNA from 1 species